GGAACCAGCCAUGCAAAGAUCUGUGACAAGAACAUUCUAGGGCUAGAAUCUAGGACCACUUUGGACAUUCAAAGCAAAGGAAGGAAGAGGAAGGGGAGCAUGGGGGAGAUGAAACGCAAGGAAGGCAGAGUGUACAAUGUCUAUGUAAGCACAACAAGAAAGCAACUUAACUGCCUGCAGCAUCAGACCAAGUUCCUGGAUCAUAAGUUUGAAAGCAGCUUCUAGAUGACGCUUGUGGAUAUUUGGAAUAAUAUCUACUAAUUUCUGUUAAGCAGCUAUGUUUCAACUCCACUUCAAUAAAAACAGCCAAAUUUCUCUCCUG
rnacentral:lncRNA from 1 species